GCCUACGACCAUCUCACCCUGAACGCGCCCGAUCUCAUCUGAUCUCGGAAGCUAAGCAUCGGUCGAGUCUGGUUAGUACUUGCAUGGGAGACUGCCUGGGAAUACCAGGUGUUCUAGGCU
rnacentral:rRNA from 1 species